GACGAACGCUGGCGGCGUGCUUAACACAUGCAAGUCGAACGGAAAGGCCCUGCUUUUGUGGGGUGCUCGAUUGGCGAACGGGUGAGUAACACGUGAGUAACCUGCCCUUGUCUUUGUGAUAACUUCAGGAAACUGGGGCUAAUACCGGAUAGGAGCUCCUGCUGCAUGGUGGUGGUUGGAAAGUUUCGGCGGUUCGGGAUGGACUCGCUGCUUAUCAGCUUGUUGGUGUGGUAGUUGCUUACCAAGGCUUUGACGGGUAGCCGGCCUGAGAGGGGGACCGGCGACAUUGGGACCGAGAUAGGGAGCAGACUCGUACGGGAGGCAGCAGGGGGGAGUAUUGCACAGUGGGCGGAAGCCUGAUGCGGAGACGCCGCGUGCGGGAUGACGGCCUUCGGGUGGUAAACCGCUUUCGCCUGUGACGAAGCGUGAGUGACGGUAAUGAGUAAAGAAGCACCGGCUAACUACGUG
rnacentral:rRNA from 1 species